GCUUGGUGUUGUAAACAUUUAUUAUUCGAAUUUCGUUACAAUGUGUUUUGGUCCAAAGUUGGGUAUUCAUUGGCAUGGCCGAGGCUAGUUUAACCAGUCUUGACCCACGCUUGGAUCUCCAAUGAAUGGCCAAGACUAGGUUAGCCAGUGUUGGCCCAAGGUUGGCUGAUUAUUGGCAUGGCCGAGGCUGGGUUAACCAGUCUUGGCCCACGCUUGGAUCUCCAAUGAAUGGCCAAGGCUGGGUUAGCCAGUGUUGGCCCAAGGUUGGGUGAUCAUUGGCAUGGCCGAGGCUGGGUUAACCAGUCUUGGCCCACGCUUGGAUCUCCAAUGA
rnacentral:misc_RNA from 1 species